AUAAUUGAGCUCUAUAUUUUAGGUUGACUAAUAGCCUAAAAUCUCUCUCUAUCUUACUUCUAAGUAGAUUGUAGAACAUAACUAUUCCACUAUUACUCACUACUCAAUAUUUUAUAAUUUCAAAUUUCAAAAUCAAAAGGAUUGCCUGUUUUACAUAGUAGUAACGACUUAUAAUACAGAAGAAAUGUAAUGAGCUUGUUUGUCAAUCAACUUAGGAUAUAGCGGAAAAUAUUCAUUAACAAACGAGCUUAUAAUUAGUACUGGCGUAAUACCACACUGAGAUUCUUACCUACUAUUCAACAACAAAAAUAUCUAAGAAAUGUCGGAGGAACAAGUGUUUGUCGAUGAAAUUCCUGAUGUAGACGGCAGUACCGUUUCGUCCAGUGAAGAAUACAAUCAAAAUUCUGUACUAAAGUCAAUAAACAACUAUAUUACAAACAUUGAUUUGAUAGCUAACUAUAUAAAGUUAAUUCUAAACGAGACUAUAAUUAAACCCAUAGUAAAUAAAUAUCAACGAAAAAUUGAGGAAUGUAUAGUAAAUAAGCUGAAUGAAAUAAUCGAGCAACAAAAUAAUAUCACUGAUUUAUGUGACAAGAUUAAUGAGGACUUGAAAGAACAUCCAUAUUCAAUACUAUUGGAUGUUCAAAAUCAGGGAAUUUUUAACAACGAAAAUAAUAUAGAGGCGAUAGACGGUACAGAUUACCAGCAAUCUUGCCUGAAUAAUUAAUGUUUAAAUUAAGUGAUUAUAAUUCUAAAUUUUUUACUUAUAAUGAUCGAGUUGAGUUGGUUUGACAAAUAGUAAUAAACAAGUAAAAUAAUUAUAACUAUUAUUGACAAUAAUAAUUUAAUAUUAUUCUUUAUAACUUUCUUUUGUUAAUAACUAUGAUCAAUAAAGUUAAUUUAGAUCAUGCCAUUACUCAGUACAACCAUCUAAGUAAAAUAUUGUAUAAAAAAAUAAUAAUACUAGGCGUCAAAAAUAAUUUAUACAUAGAACUUGUGUUGAUGGAACCAAGCAUGAGUAUAAUUUAAAUGUGCCAAUAAAUUUGCUGUGAACAGUAAUAGGGAUAAGAGUUAAGCGUUUAAAAUAUAAAUAGUCAGAAUAGCUUAUACUAUAACAAAGUAUAUCUAUUGUGUUCAUGCAAUCAAAUAAUACCAUUCAUAUUAU